rnacentral:rRNA from 1 species
ACGGAAGGCAGCAGUGGGGAAUAUUGCACAAUGGGCGCAAGCCUGAUGCAGCGACGCCGCGUGAGCGAAGAAGUAUUUCGGUAUGUAAAGCUCUAUCAGCAGGGAAGAAAAUGACGGUACCUGGCUAAGAAGCUCCGGCUAAAUACGUGCCAGCAGCCGCGGUAAUACGUAUGGAGCAAGCGUUAUCCGGAUUUACUGGGUGUAAAGGGAGCGUAGACGGAACAGCAAGUCUGAUGUGAAAGGCAGGGGCUCAACUCCUGGACUGCAUUGGAAACUGUUGAUCUUGAGUGCCGGAGAGGUAAGCGGAAUUCCUAGUGUAGCGGUGAAAUGCGUAGAUAUUAGGAGGAACACCAGUGGCGAAGGCGGCUUACUGGACGGUAACUGACGUUGAGGCUCGAAAGCGUGGGGAGCAAACAGGAUUAGAUACCCUGGUA